GUGGGACCUUUAAACUCUCGUCAAGAGAUAUUUCCUUUUAGGUAAUUUGUUUGCGAGUUUUCUUUCGUUUCUGAAGUAACGUUAGCUAUGAGCUUUGGCGGGACCUUAAAACGCUAGAAGAGGAUCAUGGAAAAAUAGAUUUCCUCAGGGAGCGCAGUAUGCCUUACCAAGGGAUGGCAACGCAUUUUGCCUGGGAAUGGGAUUCCAGAGAUGGACUUUGUCAGGGUUGACAAAAUGUGGUGGGAUCGCCCUCCACCACCAUCUGCAGCUCAGUAGAGAUGGAGAGGAACUUUGCCCGUCCUCUGCUGCUCUGGAUGCCCAGGAAGCUCUGGCAGGUUCAGCUGUAUUGCCCACAUUCUGUGCAGUAGGAAGGUCAUCAGUUGGAACAUAUGGUUCCUUACACUGUUCAACGCAAAUAUACUGGACCUGAGCCCUAGGAUAAGGCAUCUGGACUGCCUGGCCUGUUUUCGACUCUCUCUCUACCGCACCUGCUGUCUCGACCUCUGAAUUCUCGACUAUGAAAAGCCAACUGACAUUUAAUCCUGAGAACCGAGACAGUGACGUGGUAAACUAUGCAGCUGUGAAUUUCACCACCAAGAAAAGCCCCUCCUCCAGAAGAGAGAGAGCCCAGACCAGCAGAGAGGAUGCAGAGUACUCUGAGGUCAGGUACCUUCAGCAGGAGUGAGAUAUGUGAACAACCUCACCACAUUGAACAGAAACCACAUCCAUAUACAAUAGAAAUAACUUCGAAGGCCUUGUGACGACUGGUAAAAAUAAAAGAGAUUUUAGUACGUAACUAAUAGCUAAAUAAAAUAGAAAAUACAUGUACUUGUAACCCAUAAAAGCAACUUCGAUGAGUAGCCUUUCAUUGUUUCUCUGUCUUAGAUGUACAAAUGGCCUCAUAACUGAAUAAAUGUUGCUGAUCAAAAAUCA